GGCGGGGUAGCUCAGUUGGUUAGAGCACACGCUUCAUAAGCGUGGUGUCGCCGGUUCGAUCCCGGCCCCCGCUA
rnacentral:tRNA from 1 species